ACAGGAAGCAGCUUGCUGCUUUGCUGACGAGUGGCGGACGGGUGAGUAAUGUCUGGGAAACUGCCUGAUGGAGGGGGAUAACUACUGGAAACGGUAGCUAAUACCGCAUAACGUCGCAAGACCAAAGAGGGGGACCUUCGGGCCUCUUGCCAUCGGAUGUGCCCAGAUGGGAUUAGCUAGUAGGUGGGGUAACGGCUCACCUAGGCGACGAUCCCUAGCUGGUCUGAGAGGAUGACCAGCCACACUGGAACUGAGACACGGUCCAGACUCCUACGGGAGGCAGCAGUGGGGAAUAUUGCACAAUGGGCGCAAGCCUGAUGCAGCCAUGCCGCGUGUAUGAAGAAGGCCUUCGGGUUGUAAAGUACUUUCAGCGGGGAGGAAGGGAGUAAAGUUAAUACCUUUGCUCAUUGACGUUACCCGCAGAAGAAGCACCGGCUAACUCCGUGCCAGCAGCCGCGGUAAUACGGAGGGUGCAAGCGUUAAUCGGAAUUACUGGGCGUAAAGCGCACGCAGGCGGUUUGUUAAGUCAGAUGUGAAAUCCCCGGGCUCAACCUGGGAACUGCAUCUGAUACUGGCAAGCUUGAAUCUCGUAGAGGGGGGUAGAAUUCCAGGUGUAGCGGUGAAAUGCGUAGAGAUCUGGAGGAA
rnacentral:rRNA from 1 species